AUGUUUACUUUUCUCUGCGUCAGUCAUUUGAAGUUCACCACUCCCACGAUGGUUUAUUGGAAAAUAACACCCAUCCAGACUCAGAGUCGUCAAGAUCCCUUCUACUCACUCUGUUUGGCACGAGGCCCUGUUCUCACGAUCCCUUUCGUCACCACAGCCCCUCUUACUGAACAGCCCAGACCCUCAAGGUCACCCGGACCUGCUGGCAGUCCUGCAUCACCAAAGGUUCACCAGCUCAGAGAGACACAGAAGAGGGGGUACGGAUUGUCUCAUUUCCCCAGAGACACCCUCUACCUCACCCCAAGAGGCAAAGUGGCUUCCUUGGCCUCAGAAAGAAAAGCCUGUGCUCAGGAAGCAUGGCUUCCCGCUCAGCAGGGUCGUCUCUGUCUGGAUGGCGUCACUCAUGGAUACCACAGUGUCACCGAGGAGCACACUCAUCUUCAGGCUCCUGUAAAGCAGGGAACAUCACCUGCUUCCCCCGGUGUGUACCAUCACCCCAUCUCCCCAGUGUAAGGAGCACAGAGCUUUGCCAGUGGGACCUCAGAGAAGCCUGAACUGAUGGAGCUCAUUAGUCCCGGACACUUAGGCCAAGAGUGAUGCAGGAUCUGAUUCCGUACACGGAGGAUGCUGGGAGAAACAGGUUAGCCUGCUCCAGAGGGAAACACGCAGUGCUGUGACUGCACCAGGAAUCAGUCACUGGGAUUUUACCUAAUCCCACCCUACACCUCACUGCCAAUCUGGAAAAGUCCCUCAACUUUUUGGGCCUCGGUUUGUCCAUGCUCAGCAAACUGAGGGUAAAAUACCCACUUGCACCUUCCCUGGACUGUGGUCACAAUGAAGUUUGUGUUGCCUCAGGGAACAGAAGAAAAGGUCUGGAGAGUUUUUAGUUUCUUAGGGGGACACGGUGGUCACUCAUCCCUCUGCUGACCAUGACCCUGUAGGACUUACUGUAUUUCUGCAGCUGGUUGGCCAGGAUGUAGGACAGUGGACUCAGAGACAAGG
rnacentral:lncRNA from 1 species